rnacentral:rRNA from 1 species
CCUACGGGUGGCAGCAGUCGGGAAUAUUGCGCAAUGGAGGAAACUCUGACGCAGUGACGCCGCGUAUAGGAAGAAGGUUUUCGGAUCGUAAACCAUUGUCGUUAGGGAAGAUAAAAUACUGUACCUAAUGAUGACGCCUUGGCUAACUAUGUGCCAGCAGCCGCGGGAAUCUAUAGGGGGCAAGCGUUAUUCGGAAUUAUUGGGUGUAAAGGGUGCGUAGACGGAAGAACAAGUUGGUUGUGAAAUCCCUCGGCUCAACUGAGGAACUGCAACCAAAACUAUUCUCCUUGAGUGUAGGAGAGGAGAGUGGAAUUCCUAGUGUAGCGGUGAAAUGCGUAGAUAUUAGGAGGAACACCAGUGGCGAAGGCGACUUUCUGGACGGUAACUGACGUUGAGGCACGAAAGUGUGGGGAGCAAACAGGAUUAGAUACCCGGGUAGUC